rnacentral:lncRNA from 1 species
AAGCACGCCGGCUGAGUCAGCAGCGGCAACCCGCUAGGGUCCCUUUCCAUGUUGUGGAAGCUUUUUUCUUUCGCUCUUCACAAUAAAUCUUGUUGCUGCCCACUCUUUGGGUCCAUGCCAGCUUUUAUGAGCUGUAACACUCACCUCGAAGGUCUGCAGCUUCACUCCUGAAGUCAGCCAACCACAAACCCGCCAGAAGGAAGAAACUCCAGACACGUCCGAACAUGGGAAGGAACAAACUCUAGACACACCAUCUUUAAGAACUGUAACACUCACCACCAGGGUCCGCGGCUUCAUUCUUGAAGUCAGCGAGACCAAGAACCCACCAAUUCCGGACGCAAGCUGGUUAUUUUGAGAAACUCCAGACACAGGAGUAGCUCUGAAAACAAGGAUGAAGGUUGCCCUUUGGCUGUGAAGCUGAGAGCUGGAUAUAUAUAAAGUUUAGAGCUGCUGUAACCCUCUUGCAAUCUCAGAGGAGCUCCUGGAAUUGCAAGAUAGACUGCAUGGAGCCUGAAGAUGAAGCCCUCAUAGCAAGAGGCGGAGUGAAGAGACAGAGAAAUGGAGUCAUUAAGGACAUUGGUUAAGUCCUUGUUUUCAGUAGUGCCUGUAAUCAGCCAUUCUGGUGGAUUUUUCAGUUACUUGACUUUAAUAAUAAACAGUUGCGCUGUAAUCAUAAAUACCUCCUAAAUGCUCACGUGCUUACAACAACAAAAAUUAUCUCUUGCUGAUGCUACAUGGGCUACCUGCAGCGCUGCUUUAUUGUUGUUUUUAAUCUGGGACUCAGUAAAAUAGAGCAGUCUCUCUCUAGAAAAUCACCUGUUGUAACGGAGGAAAAGAAAAGUAGGAAAAGAAGUGCUCGCUCUAAACUAUCUGCCUGAAGUUGCUUGCUUCCCACUUGCAUAUAAUUGGCCAGAACAAAUCACAUGGUCAAGAUUGAUGUCACAGGGUGGAGAGGGGCAGCAAAGUUUUUUGAAAAAUAAUAAUGCAAUCUACAAGUAAAUUUCCCU